rnacentral:lncRNA from 1 species
AUGCUGUCCAAGUGCAACGUGCUUUCAAUUUACCUCUGGUUCUAAGUCUUAAACUUUCACUUUCCAUUUUCCUUGCCCAAACCUUGUCAGAUAAUCUCACUACAGUGUAUUGCUAAAUCCCCAAUUAAUUAACAUGCUGUGAUUGUUUUCUGCCGCUGCCUCACGGCCCUACUUUUACUGCUCUGCUCAGGAAGCUGUGUCAUGAGGGUGUGUAAGUGCCACCGCGCUGACACCCGCAGCUGUGCACGAUGGCAUCUCCAAAUGAAUCAAAAGGGAAAGGCAAAUUUCAAUGUGCACAUCCUGGGCUGCAGCAGUGACUGAUGCGGAAAAUAUUAAGAAGUGGCAUAAUGAGUAGUGUAUGUGGGAGUGCUGGGUGUACGUGGGGCUUCACUAAAAAAAGCCUUGAGCCGUCUGACACUUGUUUGAGUAAGUCUUAAGUCGACAGAGCAAGAACAAAGACUGCACCUAAGCUUUCUGGGCUGGCCUAAGUGAACAGCAAUUCAAACAAGCAGGGAGCAUCAGGUUUCUAUUUUUAAACUGAAAGUUCCUUUUGGUUUUCUGCAGAACGGUGUGUGAGCAGUGAAAGAUGCACCUUUCUGUAAUGUGUGUGAUGAUGGGGAGUCAAUAUGAGUCUGCUUCUGUUGGCUGGAAUUGUGGGAAUGUGCACCACCGUGGGACCAGGUACCAGGGAAGCGGGAAGACCUUCUUGUCAAUCUUCUUGUCACUCGCCUAUUCCCACGACUGUAAUUGUUGAAGAUAUUAACCAUUUUUCAGACGUGGCUACUCGACACAAAGCUUUCAGGAAACCAAACCAGAAAUCUGCAGAGCUGGAAAGUUGAUAUUGGCUGAGAACAGCAGGUACAGCAGUGAGAAAAGCUUCUUGAUAACCUGGGGCUGCUCCAGGACAGAAGGAAAGGUGCCUCCACUGCCAGGACUGCCCCAUCAGCCACACCACACCGGCCGUGAAAACAUGGCAGGCUCUUCUCCAAGGGUUAAAGUUUUAAGUCACAACUUUCACUGCAGUUUGCACUUAUGCCUAAUUAACUCAAAAUUAAUGGUCCAGAACCUAGUCCAACAGUUAUCCUCAAUGGUGCAGAAAAAAAAUCUCCCUUUUAUGUUUGGGAUAAUACUUUUUUCCUAGAACAGUGUUGGUUAAUCUUGAAGACCAAAGAAUUGUAAGCAUAACUUCAAUGUAUACAUUUAUUUUGCUUUUGUUUCUUCUGCAAUUGUUGAGCCUUUCCUAAGUAUUGCUUUUCUUCAAUUUCCAUGUCUUUACAAGUUUCAUUUUAAAAAAUAAAUAAACAUUUAAAAA